AUCAUGGCUCAGGACGAACGCUGGCGGCGUGCCUAAUACAUGCAAGUCGAACGAACUCUGGUAUUGAUUGGUGCUUGCAUCAUGAUUUACAUUUGAGUGAGUGGCGAACUGGUGAGUAACACGUGGGAAACCUGCCCAGAAGCGGGGGAUAACACCUGGAAACAGAUGCUAAUACCGCAUAACAACUUGGACCGCAUGGUCCGAGUUUGAAAGAUGGCUUCGGCUAUCACUUUUGGAUGGUCCCGCGGCGUAUUAGCUAGAUGGUGGGGUAACGGCUCACCAUGGCAAUGAUACGUAGCCGACCUGAGAGGGUAAUCGGCCACAUUGGGACUGAGACACGGCCCAAACUCCUACGGGAGGCAGCAGUAGGGAAUCUUCCACAAUGGACGAAAGUCUGAUGGAGCAACGCCGCGUGAGUGAAGAAGGGUUUCGGCUCGUAAAACUCUGUUGUUAAAGAAGAACAUAUCUGAGAGUAACUGUUCAGGUAUUGACGGUAUUUAACCAGAAAGCCACGGCUAACUACGUGCCAGCAGCCGCGGUAAUACGUAGGUGGCAAGCGUUGUCCGGAUUUAUUGGGCGUAAAGCGAGCGCAGGCGGUUUUUUAAGUCUGAUGUGAAAGCCUUCGGCUCAACCGAAGAAGUGCAUCGGAAACUGGGAAACUUGAGUGCAGAAGAGGACAGUGGAACUCCAUGUGUAGCGGUGAAAUGCGUAGAUAUAUGGAAGAACACCAGUGGCGAAGGCGGCUGUCUGGUCUGUAACUGACGCUGAGGCUCGAAAGUAUGGGUAGCAAACAGGAUUAGAUACCCUGGUAGUCCAUACCGUAAACGAUGAAUGCUAAGUGUUGGAGGGUUUCCGCCCUUCAGUGCUGCAGCUAACGCAUUAAGCAUUCCGCCUGGGGAGUACGGCCGCAAGGCUGAAACUCAAAGGAAUUGACGGGGGCCCGCACAAGCGGUGGAGCAUGUGGUUUAAUUCGAAGCUACGCGAAGAACCUUACCAGGUCUUGACAUACUAUGCAAAUCUAAGAGAUUAGACGUUCCCUUCGGGGACAUGGAUACAGGUGGUGCAUGGUUGUCGUCAGCUCGUGUCGUGAGAUGUUGGGUUAAGUCCCGCAACGAGCGCAACCCUUAUUAUCAGUUGCCAGCAUUAAGUUGGGCACUCUGGUGAGACUGCCGGUGACAAACCGGAGGAAGGUGGGGAUGACGUCAAAUCAUCAUGCCCCUUAUGACCUGGGCUACACACGUGCUACAAUGGAUGGUACAACGAGUUGCGAACUCGCGAGAGUAAGCUAAUCUCUUAAAGCCAUUCUCAGUUCGGAUUGUAGGCUGCAACUCGCCUACAUGAAGUCGGAAUCGCUAGUAAUCGCGGAUCAGCAUGCCGCGGUGAAUACGUUCCCGGGCCUUGUACACACCGCCCGUCACACCAUGAGAGUUUGUAACACCCAAAGUCGGUGGGGUAACCUUUUAGGAACCAGCCGCCUAAGGUGGGACAGAUGAUUAGGGUGAAGUCGUAACAAGGUAGCCGUAGGAGAACCUGCGGUUGGAUC
rnacentral:rRNA from 2 species